rnacentral:lncRNA from 1 species
CGUCAUUGUAAAUAAGAAUUUGUUCUUAACUGACUUGUUAAAUAAAGGUAAAAUUGUAAAAAACGUAUAACUUUUUCACCGGAGAGACUUGAAUCAAAGAUGAGAGUCUAUCAAGAGACUCUUCCUGUAAUUCUUGCUUGCGCAAUGAAGAUUCAGGCAGAAGUCAAUGGAAAAUGUCAACAACAAACUAAAUCGCUAAAGAACACGUUUAUUUUGGCCUGUUUGAUGCAUCUUGUAUUGGAAACAUGAUGAUGUUAGGCUUCUGUCUUACCUCUGUCUUAUCUCUGUCUUAGGGCUGGCUAAGGCUUAUCUCUGUCUUAGGGCUGGCUAAGGCCUAUCUCUGUCUUAGGGCUGGCUAAGGCCUAUCUCUGUCUUAUCUCUGUCUUAGGGCUGGCUACGGCCUAUCUCUGUCUUAUCUCUGUCUUAUCUCUGUCUUAGGGCUGGCUAAGGCCUAUAUCUGUCUUAUGGCUGGCUAAGGCCUAUCUCUGUCUUAUGGCUGGCUAAGGCCUAUCUCUGUCUUAUCUCUGUCUUAUGGCUGGCUAAGGCUUAUCUCUGUCUUAUCUCUGUCUUACGGCUGUCUAAGGCUUAUCUCUGUCUUACCUCUGUCUUAGGGCUGGCUAAGGCCCAUCUCUGUCUUAGGGCUGGCUAAGGCUACCACACAUUCAUGGACGUUACCCUGUACAUAUUGUGUAGACCUGAUUUAUGGCAUUAUUUUUUGUUUUUUAAUAAUUAUUUUAUAUACACUGCUCAAAAAAAUAAAGGGAACACUUAAACAACACAAUGUAACUCCAAGUCAAUCACACUUCUGUGUAAUCAAACUGUCCACUUAGGAAGCAACACUGAUUGACAAUAAAUUUCACAUGCUGUUGUGCAAAUGGAAUAGACAACAGGUGGAAAUUAUAGGUAAUUAGCAAGACAUCCCCCAAUAAAGGAGUGGUUCUGCAGGUGGUGACCACAGACCACUUCUCAGUUCCUAUGCUUCCUGGCUGAUGUUUUGGUCACUUUUAAAUGCUGGCGGUGCUUUCACUCUAGUGGUAGCAUGAGACGGAGUCUACAACACACACAAGUGGCUCAGGUAGUGCAGCUCAUCCAGGAUGGCACAUCAAUGCGAGCUGUGGCAAGAAGGUUUGCUGUGUGUGUCAGCGUAGUGUCCAGAGCAUGGAG